CCACCCCCUGAAGCUGUUACUGCCCCUCCCAUCCCCACCCAAUCAAGCUGUUACUGCCCCUCCCAUCACCACCCCAUCAAGCUGUUACUGCCCCUCCCAUCCACCACCCCCUGAACCUGUUACUGCCCCUCCUAUCCCCACCCCCUCAAGCUGUUACUUCUCCUCCCAUCCCUACCCCCUUAAGCUGUUACUGCCCCUCCCAUCCCUGCCCCCUAAAGCUGUUACUGCCCCUCCCCUCCCCAUGGGGGAAGAGGGGAAAGUAAGGAAAAGUAGAGAAAAGAUCAGUCUUUCAUAGGACUGACAUAGACCAUUCAAAGGUCCAAGGUCCCUUUGGGGUCUCUUGUAUCAUUAAAUACCAGUUUCAUAGAUUCUUUAUUGUAACAUAUCAAUUACUAAUAAAUUCUAAUUAUAAAGGCCAGAUUUCAUCAAGUUUUAGAAGAUUAGUACAAGAUUAUCAUUUUGAUAAUUUUGUGAAAACAGCAUUGAUUUUUCUUGUUUUUCUCACUUUUCACAUGAUUUAAGCUGAUGUUUAUAGUUAAUGUAACAAGUCUGGAAUACUAAAUAAAGUUGUAUGUAACAUUACAACAUCAUUUACAAGAUGGAAUACAAAGUGUAAAAUAUAAUGUUGUUAUCAGUAAGUUAAACAUCUGCCCAAUAUUUUUUUUUAUUUCUCCUGGCCAGAGGUUCAGUAACAUACCAGUGUAUGUGUGGGAGGUAGUGGUAUGUUAGUGUUAGUCCAGAGGUUCAGUAACAUACCAGUGUUAGUCCAGAGGUUCAGUAACAUACCAGUGUUAGUCCAGAGGUUCAGUAACAUACCAGUGUAUGUGUGGCAGACAGUGGUAUGGUUAGUGUUAGUCCAGAGGUUCAGUAACAUACCAGUGUAUGUGUGGGAGGUAGUGAUAUGGUUAGUGUUAGUCCAGAGGUUCAGUAACAUACCAGUGUAUGUGUGGGAGGUAGUGAUAUGGUUAGUGUUAGUCCAGAGGUUCAGUAACAUACCAGUGUAUGUGUGGGAGGUAGUGAUAUGGUUAGUGUUAGUCCAGAGGUUCAGUAACAUACCAGUGUACGUGUGGGAGGUAGUGGUAUGUUAGUGUUAGUCCAGAGGUUCAGUAACAUACCAGUGUAUGUGUGGGAGGUAGUGGUAUGGUUAGUGUUAGUCCAGAGGUUCAGUAACAUACCAGUGUAUGUGUGGGAGGUAGUGGUAUGUUAGUGUUAGUCCAGAGGUUCAGUAACAUACCAGUGUAUGUGUGGGAGACAGUGGUAUGGUUAGUGUUAGUCCAGAGGUUCAGUAACAUACCAGUGUUAGUCCAGAGGUUCAGUAACAUACCAGUGUAUGUGUGGGAAACAGUGGUAUGGUUAGUGUUAGUCCAGAGGUUCAGUAACAUACCAGUGUAUGUGUGGGAGGUAGUGGUACGGUUAGUGUUAGACCAGAGGUUCAGUAACAUACCAGUGUAUGUGUGGGAGGUAGUGGUAUGGUUAGUGUUAGACCAGAGGUUCAGUAACAUACCAGUGUUAGUCCAGAGGUUCAGUAACAUACCAGUGUAUGUGUGGGAGGUAGUGGUAUGGUUAGUGUUAGACCAGAGGUUCAGUAACAUACCAGUGUAUGUGUGGGAGGUAGUGGUAUGGUUAGUGUUAGUCCAGAGGUUCAGUAACAUACCAGUGCUAGUCCAGAGGUUCAGUAACAUACCAGUGUAUGUGUGGGAAACAGUGGUAUGGUUAGUGUUAGUCCAGAGGUUCAGUAACAUACCAGUGUAUGUGUGGGAGGUAGUGGUAUGUUAGUGUUAGUCCAGAGGUUCAGUAACAUACCAGUGUACGUGUGGGAGGUAGUGGUAUGGUUAGUGUUAGUCCAGAGGUUCAGUAACAUACCAGUGUAUGUGUGGGAGGUAGUGGUAUGUUAGUGUUAGUCCAGAGGUUCAGUAACAUACCAGUGUAUGUGUGGCAGACAGUGAUAUGGUUAGUGUUAGUCCAGAGGUUCAGUAACAUACCAGUGUAUGUGAGGGAGGUAGUGAUAUGGUUAGUGUUAGUCCCUUAGUGGUUGUGAUUGUCAUGCUUGUCAUAAAGCAUAUUGCAUUAGGAAAUCCAGUCUCUCACACCAGUAAGAUACCUCAAACGACUAAUAAAGAAGUGUGUUUCACAAGCAGUUUAUAUCAAUCUUAUUUAUAGGAUCAAUACUUUGUAUGUCAAUCUUAAUU